rnacentral:rRNA from 1 species
GGGAUGAGUCUGCGUCUGAUUAGGUAGUUGGUGAGGUAACGGCUCACCAAGCCGACGAUCAGUAACUGGUCUGAGAGGACGAACAGUCACACUGGAACUGAGACACGGUCCAGACUCCUACGGGAGGCAGCAGUGAGGAAUAUUGCACAAUGGGAGCAAUCCUGAUGCAGCGACGCCGCGUGCGGGAUGAAGGGGCUUAGCCUCGUAAACCGCUGUCGGAGGGGACGAAUGGUACAUUUGAUGUACUGAGACGGUACCCUCAAAGGAAGGAUCGGCUAACUACGUGCCAGCAGCCGCGGUAAUACGUAGGAUCCGAGCGUUGUCCGGAAUUACUGGGUGUAAAGGGUGCGUAGGCGGACUUGUGCGUCAGAGGUGAAAUCCACGGGCUUAACCCGUGGGGUGCCUUGAUACGGCAAGUCUUGAGUGCGAGAGAGGUGGGUGGAAUUCCGUGGUGUAGCAGUGAAAUGCGUAGAUAUCAGGAGGAACACCGAUGGCGAAGGCAGCCCACCGG